GAACAAAUGGUGUAGUUGGCCAUCCCUUAUGUCUCACGCACAGAAGGUCCCCAGUUCGACUCUGGGUUGUUUCA